rnacentral:rRNA from 1 species
AGUAGCAAUACUUUUGUAAAGCAAGUGGCGAACGGGUGAGUAACGCGUGGAUAAUCUGCCUUAAAGAUUGGGAUAACUCUUCGAAAGGAGGGCUAAUACCAAAUGUUUUAUGAUCUUCCAUGAAGAUUAUAACAAAGGUAGCCGCAAGGGCUUCCGCUUUAAGAUGAGUCCGCGUCCUAUUAGCUUGUUGGUGGGGUAACAGCCUACCAAGGCUAUGAUGGGUAGCCGGUCUGAGAGGACGGACGGCCACACUGGGACUAAGAUACGGCCCAGACUCCUACGGGAGGCAGCAGUAGGGAAUAUUGCGCAAUGGGCGAACGCCUGACGCAGCGACACCGUGCGUAGGAUGAGAAUCUUCGGAUUGUAAACUACUGUCAGUUGAAGACGAAGGCAGUAGAGUUAAGAGCUCGAAUGUUGACGGUAUUCAAUUAGGAAGUCUCGGCUAACUCCGUGCCAGCAGCCGCGGUAAGACGGAGGAGGCUAGCAUUGUCCGGAAUUAUUGGGCGUAAAGAACACGUAGGCGGUUUGUCAAGUCAUGUGUGAAAACCUUAGGCUUAACUUAAGGAUUGCAGAUGAUACUGGUAAACUAGAGUACAGUAGAGGAAAGUGGAAUUCCUGGUGUAGCGGUGAAAUGCGCAGAUAUCAGGAAGAACACCAGUGGCGAAAGCG